rnacentral:misc_RNA from 1 species
GCAAACUUGGUCAUUUAGAGGAAGUAAAAGUCGUAACAAGGUUUCCGUAGGUGAACCUGCGGAAGGAUCAUUACACGAUUUCGGUUUACACCGUUUUCAUCCUAUGUUUAUACGUACCACAUGUUUCCUCGGGGGGCUUGCCCCCCGUUAGGACACCCCUUAAACCUUUUUGUAAUAGCAGUUAGCGUCUGAAAAACUAAGUUAAUUAUUAAAACUUUCAACAAUGGAUCUCUUGGCUCUCGCAUCGAUGAAGAACGCAGC